CAGUCGCCACGGUAAUACGAGGGGGGCAAGCGUUGUUCGGAAUUAUUGGGCGUAAAGGGUGCGUAGGCGGCUUGACAAGUCUUGUGUGAAAUCUAUGGGCUCAACCCAUAGUCUGCACGGGAAACUGUCGGGCUUGAGAAUGGGAGAGGUGAGUGGAAUUUCCGGUGUAGCGGUGAAAUGCGUAGAUAUCGGAAAGAACACCAGUGGCGAAGGCGGCUCACUGGACCGGAAUUGACGCUGAGGUGCGAAAGCGUGGGGAGCAAACAGGAUUAGAUACCCCUGUAGUCCCUGUCUCUUAUAA
rnacentral:rRNA from 1 species